AUCCAAAGUGUUGAGUCCAGUUCAGGGUAGCUUCCCUGUCCUGUCAAUUAAACUUUGGAACAUUGAAACAGGCUAGGAAAAAUAAUUGGAUAGAAAACAUUACUCUAUUCAUUUAUCUCCCAGCCUACAAAA
ensembl:snoRNA